AACGAACGCUGGCGGCAUGCCUAACACAUGCAAGUCGAACGAGACCUUCGGGUCUAGUGGCGCACGGGUGCGUAACGCGUGGGAACCUGCCCUUAGGUUCGGAAUAACUCCCCGAAAGGGGUGCUAAUACCGGAUAAUGUCUUCGGACCAAAGAUUUAUCGCCUUUGGUUGGGCCCGCGUUGGAUUAGCUAGUUGGUAGGGUAAAAGCCUACCAAGGCGACGAUCCAUAGCUGGUUGGAGAGGAUGAUCAGCCACACUGGGACUGAGACACGGCCCAGACUCCUACGGGAGGCAGCAGUGGGGAAUAGUGGACAAUGGGCGAAAGCCUGAUCCAGCAAUGCCGCGUGAGUGAUGAAGGCCUUAGGGUUGUAAAGCUCUUUUACCCGGGAUGAUAAUGACAGUACCGGGAGAAUAAGCUCCGGCUAACUCCGUG
rnacentral:rRNA from 1 species